rnacentral:rRNA from 1 species
UGAAUACGAGACGCUAAGGCGUCGAAGUAGUGUAUGUCAUACUUCCAAGAAAAGCUUGCACAGUCAUAGAUAAAAAACGCCUGUACCAUAACCGACACAGGUGGGUAGGUAGAGUAUACUAAGGGGCGCGAGAUAACUCUCUCUAAGAAACUCGGCAAAAUAACUCCGUAACUUCGGGAGAAGGAGUGCCUUAUUCGUAAGGUUGCAAUAACAAGAUCCAAGCAACUGUUUAUCAAAAACACAGGUCUCCGCUAAGUCGUAAGACGAUGUAUGGGGGCUGACGCCUGCCCAGUGCCAGAAGGUUAAAGAAGUUGGUUAGCAAUUGCGAAGCUGAUAACUGAAGCCCUGGUGAACGGCGGCCGUAACUAUAACGGUCCUAAGGUAGCGAAAUUCCUUGUCGGGUAAGUUCCGACCCGCACGAAAGGCGUAAUGAUUUGGAUACUGUCUCGGAGAGGGGCUCGGUGAAAUAGACUUGCCUGUGAAGAUGCGGACUACCUGCACCAGGACAGAAAGACCCUAUGAAGUUUUACUGUAACUUGAAAUUGAAAUUGGACUUUAUUCGCGCAGUAUAGGUGGGAGGCGUUGAUUAUAAUCUUGUGGGAUUAUUGGAGCCAUCAGUGAGAUACCACUCUUGUAAUGUUAGAUUUCUAACUUUGAAUCAUUAUCUGGUCAAAGAACAGUUUCAGGCGGGCAGUUUGACUGGGGCGGUCGCCUCCUAAACGGUAACGGAGGCGUACAAAGGUUUCCUCUGAACGGUUAGAAAUCGUAUCUAGAGUGUAAAGGCAUAAGGAAGCUUGACUGUGAGACCUACAAGUCGAGCAGGGACGAAAGUCGGUCUUAGUGAUCUGUCGGUACUGAGUGGAAAGGCCGUCACUCAACGGAUAAAAGUUACUCUAGGAUAACAGGCUGAUCUCCCCCAAGAGUUCACAUCGACGGGGAGGUUUGGCACCUCGAUGUCGGCUCAUCGCAUCCUGGGGCGGUAGUACGUCCCAAGGGUUGGGCUGUUCGCCCAUGAAAGCGGUACGCGAGCUGGGUUCAGAACGUCGUGAGACAGUUCGGUCCAUAUCCGGUGUAGGCGUUAGAAUAUUGAGAGGAGCCUUCUUUAGUACGGGGGGACCGAGAAGGACAUACCUCUGGUGUACCAGUUAUCGUGCCAACGGUAAACGCUGGGUAGCUAUGUAUGGAGUGGAUAACCGCUGAAAGCAUCUAAGUGGGAAGCCCACCUCAAGAUAAGUAUUCUCAUC